AUAUUUAACUGCCAGGGGAGAUACCAUGAUCACUAAGAAGGUUUUCCCAUGGUGACGCUUAUCCAUUGCUUUCUGGAUGUAUUGACCCCUGCGAUUUCCCCAAAUGUGGGAAACUCAACUGCACAAUAUAUGGUAGUGGGGGACUGCUUUCUUGCUCUCCCCUG